rnacentral:rRNA from 1 species
CGGCGGACGGGUGAGUAACACGUGGAUAACCUACCUAUAAGACUGGGAUAACUUCGGGAAACCGGAGCUAAUACCGAUAAUAUAUUGAACCGCAUGGUUCAAUAGUGAAAGACGGUUUUGCUGUCACUUAUAGAUGGAUCCGCGCCGCAUUAGCUAGUUGGUAAGGUAACGGCUUACCAAGGCAACGAUGCGUAGCCGACCUGAGAGGGUGAUCGGCCACACUGGAACUGAGACACGGUCCAGACUCCUACGGGAGGCAGCAGUC